rnacentral:lncRNA from 1 species
UCCUGGAUCGCCUACAGAUAUUUGCAUAGUACCUCGAUAGAUGAGGAAGCAUUAGAUGUAGACGAUAGAACAAGGGGUGGGAAUAAAUUAUAUAUUUGCUCAAAUUUUACUGGAACUUAUCUAGACUAUAAGUGACUUCUCUAAAAGCAAACAAUAUAGGCAACAAUUUAAGAAAAUAAAUGAUGAUAACCUAGUAUUAAGCGUCCAUCUACCAAUCCAUGGAUCGUGAUUCGAGUCGCACUAAGGUAAAUAGAUCCCCGGGGAACAAGUAGAACACGGAAAAGCUUUUGAUAUUCUUAGAGGGUACUCAACUUGACUAUUUCAUCGCGUACCUGCUACGAUCACCAGCACAUAUAACGAGUAUUUUCUAAGUGCACACACAUUUCUAACGCUCAGUUGUUGAGUCAUUUGCCCUCCACCGGGAAACCUCAACACACACAUUUACCUACAUGCGUGUGUUUGCGUGUGUAGUCUACACUAAUGGCCACAUUCAGUCAUUCACCUUCUACUGAAUCAUACAACAUCUUAUGUGUUUCUUCUCAGUUUAGAUGAUUUCACUUCAGUGGCAGAUACUACAAGAAGAUGGCUUUCUAUUACCAAUUUGUCAGUAUCUUCAAUGCGGUCCCUCCAGUUCACCCAAAUCACUGCUAGAUUUUCCCUCCUGGUAUUCAUGUUCCUAAACACUAGUGGGAUUUCUGCAAAGUCAAGCAGCAAAGGAAAGCUAAAUCUCCACUUACAAUGUACCCAACAAACAUAUCCCUCACUAUUCCAAGAUUUCUCAUGUAAAUUGGUACUUGUCUAUGUAUCAACAUAACAUCUCCAACCAGGCCAACUUUCUGCAGAGCAGUAUGCCGAUACUUAGCUCAAUGACAGGUAGCAUAUCUAUCACUCAAUCUGCUAUUUGCACUCCAGCUGGUGCAUGGCUCGAAUUGCAUGCAUAAUAUGGCACUGGCUGCAUCGAUUUAUCGUUGCUCAGUUCCUUCAUGAGUCAGACCUACAAGGAAAAGACAGAAAACCAAUAUCUUUAACUCAUCCUUUGCUUUCUCCACACGAACUUAUCAACAACCCAGAACAGAACUUCGAUAGCAGAACAGAUUAAGAUACGAUUCCAAUAUUCAGAUCCAAGAAGACUCCAAAGCAUCUUAUCAAGAUAUAAAAGGUCAGAGAGGGACGUCCUCUUCAGAGUCCUGCUGUUCUUUUAAACUAUCUUCAUUAGGUAAUGGACAUACUCUCGACAAGUUGAUACUAUUAUUUAGCUAAAUAUACUUGCGCAUAACUUAUAUAAGUCAUCCACAGAACUACAGUUUCACAUCUCCACAAACUUUUAUAUGCACUGCCAAGUUUACGAUAACAGGCGGAGAACAAGAAUCCCUGUUUCUUUAAAUCUGAGCUGAAGAGCUAAGCAUUCUUUAGCAUAGUUGCACCUCCUCCAAUUAAAAAAAAAAAGGACUUCACUACAUCAAUUAGUCACAGUCGCGACAAUCUAAACAAAAAAUUAAAAGAAAACAAAGCAGGAGAACGAAAUCUUUUGACCAAAGUCAAAAUGUCAACAACUUGAAUACUUCAAAACAAGAGUGCCUACAAGCUACGAGAGUACUGCCAACUAAGACGUUAACCCCUAAACAAAUCUUAUUAAGAUCGGCCCAACAAAUAGAACUAUAACUAACCCAACCCAACAAAACUACAUAACAUUAUCAUAUAUUAACAGGAAACAUAUCAUGUGAAUGCACCCCACUAAACUGCAUGGAUUGGACUGUGGCUAGAGUUCAUGCCUGAGCUACCAGAUGAAGGAUUAGCAUGG